UAUUUUAGCAAUAGAAUAUGAGAGUGACGUACGGGUGCGUAACACGUAUGCAACCUACCCUUUACAGGCGGAUAGCUCGGGGAAACUCGAAUUAACCCGUCAUAAGAUCAUAGAGUGGCAUCACUUAGUGAUUAAAAUUACGGUGGUAAAGGAUGGGCAUGCGUCUGAUUAGUUAGUUGGUGCGGGUAACGGCCCACCAAGACGAUGAUCAGUAGGGGAACUGAGAGGUUGAUCCCCCACACUGGCACUGAGAUACGGGCCAGACUCCUACGGGAGGCAGCAGUAGGGAAUAUUGGUCAAUGGAUGGAAGUCUGAACCAGCCAUGCCGCGUGCAGGAAGAAGGCCUUCUGGG
rnacentral:rRNA from 1 species